GAUGAACGCUGGCGGCGUGCCUAAUACAUGCAAGUCGAGCGAACAGACGAGGAGCUUGCUCCUCUGACGUUAGCGGCGGACGGGUGAGUAACACGUGGAUAACCUACCUAUAAGACUGGGAUAACUUCGGGAAACCGGAGCUAAUACCGGAUAAUAUAUUGAACCGCAUGGUUCAAUAGUGAAAGACGGUUUUGCUGUCACUUAUAGAUGGAUCCGCGCCGCUUUAGCUAGUUGGUAAGGUAACGGCUUACCAAGGCAACGAUGCGUAGCCGACCUGAGAGGGUGAUCGGCCACACUGGAACUGAGCCACGGUCCAGACUCCUACGGGAGGCAGCAGUAGGGAAUCUUCCGCAAUGGGCGAAAGCUUGACGGAGCAACGCCGCGUGAGUGAUGAAGGUCUUCGGAUCGUAAAACUCUGUUAUUAGGGAAGAACAAAUGUGUAAGUAACUAUGCACGUCUUGACGGUACCUAAUCAGAAAGCCACGGCUAACUACGUG
rnacentral:rRNA from 1 species